rnacentral:rRNA from 1 species
UGGGGAAUAUUGGGCAAUGGGCGAAAGCCUGACCCAGCAACGCCGCGUGAUUGAAGAAGGUCUUCGGAUUGUAAAGAUCUGUCCUAUGGGAAGAAACAAAUGACGGUACCAUAGGAGGAAGCCCCGGCUAACUACGUGCCAGCAGCCGCGGUAAUACGUAGGGGGCAAGCGUUGUCCGGAAUUACUGGGCGUAAAGGGUGCGUAGGCGGCAUCUUAAGUCAGAUGUGAAAUAUCCAUGCUUAACGUGGAGGGUGCAUUUGAAACUGGGAUGCUUGAGUGCAGGAGAGGAAAGUGGAAUUCCUAGUGUAGCGGUGAAAUGCGUAGAUAUUAGGAGGAACACCAGUGGCGAAGGCGACUUUCUGGACUGUAACUGACGCUGAGGCACGAAAGCGUGGGGAGCAAACA